rnacentral:rRNA from 1 species
AACGAACGCUGUUGGCGUGCCUAACACAUGCAAGUCGAGCGAAGUGAGUACUACGGUACGAACUUAGCGGCGGACGGGUGAGUAACGCGUGGACAAUCUACCCUGUAGACUGGGAUAACACCUCGAAAGGGGUGCUAAUACCGGAUAAUGUCGGGAAGCGGCAUCGCUUUUCGAAGAAAGGAGAGAAUCCGCUAUAGGAGGAGUCCGCGUCCCAUUAGCUAGUUGGUGAGGGUAACGGCCCACCAAGGCGACGAUGGGUAGCCGGCCUGAGAGGGUGAACGGCCACACUGGAACUGAGACACGGUCCAGACUCCUACGGGAGGCAGCAGUGGGGAAUAUUGUGCAAUGGGGGAAACCCUGACACAGCAACGCCGCGUGAGCGAAGAAGGCCUUCGGGUUGUAAAGCUCAAUAGUAUGGGAAGAUAAUGACGGUACCAUACGAAAGCCCCGGCUAACUACGUGCCAGCCGCCGCCGUAAAAC